rnacentral:rRNA from 1 species
UACGAAGGGGGCUAGCGUUGUUCGGAAUCACUGGGCGUAAAGCGUGCGCAGGCGGCUUCCCAAGUCAGUGGUGAAAGCCCGGAGCUCAACUCCGGAAUUGCCAUUGAAACUGUGGAGCUCGAGAACGAGAGAGGUGAGUGGAAUUCCCAGUGUAGAGGUGAAAUUCGUAGAUAUUGGGAAGAACACCAGUGGCGAAGGCGGCUCACUGGCUCGUAACUGACGCUCAUGCACGACAGCGUGGGGAUCAAACAGG